CAAAGAGAGUAUAAAAGUGUUUUAUUUCUUUUCACUUGUUUUCAUUUCUUUUCUUUUACAUUUUUUUUUCUUAUUUUGUUUAGAGGUUAUUGGUUUGCAUGCAUGGAAUACGUUACCGUUUUCUUCCCUUUGGUUGAAAAGUGUCGUGAGUGUUUUGUGUUUUCAUUGAUUGUAUAGUACGAUUGCGAGGGUCGAGAGGUGUCGUGCACCAACAUUCAAAGUAAGGAAGGAGGAGGGAAGGCAAAGUUGUACGAUGGAGGCGAGAAUUGUGGGGGAUGAAUGGGGCAAGGGAAAGAGAGAGAAAAGGAGAAGAAUGAGAGGAAGAAAGAAGAAAAAAAAAAUAAAAAAGAAAUUAAAAAAUAAAAAUUAAAAUAAUAAAGAAAAUAAAAUUGAAAGAGGAAUUCAAUUUAAUUAGAGUAAUUCAAUGUAAUUCAAUUUCAUAAAAAUAAAAAAUAAUGUUUUAUUAAAUUCAAGUUUUGUUU